rnacentral:rRNA from 1 species
UACGUAGGGGGCAAGCGUUGUCCGGAAUCAUUGGGCGUAAAGCGCACGCAGGCGGUCGCGCGCGUGGGGUGUGAAAUCUGGCCGCUUAACGGCCAGGCGCCAUCCCAUACGGCGCGACUGGAGUGAUGCAGAGGUCGGUGGAAUUGCCGGUGUAGUGGUGAAAUGCGUAGAGAUCGGCAGGAACACCCAGGGGGAAACCAGCCGACUGGGCAUUGACUGACGCUGAGGUGCGAGAGCGUGGGGAGCGAACCGG